GAUGAACGCUGGCGGCGUGCCUAAUACAUGCAAGUCGAGCGAACAGACGAGGAGCUUGCUCCUCUGACGUUAGCGGCGGACGGGUGAGUAACACGUGGAUAACCUACCUAUAAGACUGGGAUAACUUCGGGAAACCGGAGCUAAUACCGGAUAAUAUAUUGAACCGCAGGGUUCAAUAGUGAAAGACGGUUUUGCUGUCACUUAUAGAUGGAUCCGCGCCGCAUUAGCUAGUUGGUAAGGUAACGGCUUACCAAGGCAACAAUGCGUAGCCGACCUGAGAGGGUGAUCGGCCACACUGGAACUGAGACACGGUCCAGACUCCUACGGGAGGCAGCAGUAGGGAAUCUUCCGCAAUGGGCGAAAGCCUGACGGAGCAACGCCGCGUGAGUGAUGAAGGUCUUCGGAUCGUAAAACUCUGUUAUUAGGGAAGAACAAAUGUGUAAGUAACUAUGCACGUCUUGACGGUACCUAAUCAGAAAGCCACGGCUAACUACGUG
rnacentral:rRNA from 1 species